UGCGUGUAUAUUUACUGUGACAUAAAUGUGGGAAUCAUAUGCUCCCCACACCAUGUUAGAGGGCCUCUUGCUUUCACAUUGCCUCCAUUAUAUGGACUGCAACGCCUAUAGUGUUUAACAGAUAACCCGCUUCCAGCCAGUCCUGAUUCAUAUAACGUACCGGGCAUAAGGCAGGCCAGUUUCUACAUUGUUUCAAAAAGGCCCCUCACAUAGAUUAUAACUGCCCAUAUACAUCAUUCUGACUGCUUCAUUAGCGCUUUUAUCCACUGGUGGGACUGAGAAGGGGAAGGUAGGUGCUACAUAUAUCAGAAAAGCAGGUAGGCAACAGCUAAGCAGAGAGCCGGCACUACCCAAGGCAGAUAGUAGGUUUGGGGAGAGUUACUGCAAGGCUUUUGGGACACUGCAGAAAGGCCUCUAUAAUUUGCCUGGCUGUUUUUCCAGCUUUAGCAUGUGGUAUUACUGUAGUCACUUUAUCUCCUUUGAUUUAAGAUUAAAAAAGCUACCAAUACAAAGGUUGACUAGGUCACAUUGUGUACAAUUCCACCCAGUAGCAAAAUUCUGGAAGGCCCGUCUUUGCAGUUAGGACCCAAUUUUGGCAAUUUACCUUCAGAACAAAUCAGACAGCAAAUUAGGAGCGGGCAGAAUAAAGGUGGGGCAGGCAGAAUCCACCCCUUAUUCCACCACAUAUAGUUAUACAGUUUAGUCAUUUCCCUAUGGUGCUUAGGGAUGUCAUCAGUUAUAAUCGGAGCUUAGUGAUGUACUUUCUAGGGAUGCGCCGAUUCCAGGAUUCGGGCAAAAUUCUGCCUUUUUUGGCAAGAUUCAAAUUCGGCCGAAUCAAAUCCGAAUCCUUAAAAUCACUUGACUUUUUGCCACACAAACACCCUUGUGGAGUCUAUUUUGCGUAUGCACAUUAGGAUUUGGUUCGGUAUUCAGCCAAAUGUGUCACAAAGGAUUCAGGAUUCGGGCGAAUAUGAAAAUAGUGGGUUCCGUGCAUCCUUAGUAGUUUCUGCCACGUGACUUACUAAAACCUGUAUAUUAUAAUAAAUAAAGUACCCUGUGUUGUAAAAUAUGAGGAUAUUAGAUGUCACCUCGGCCUUCUUGGUGACUUAUAAUAUCCUUAUAUUUUACAAUACUUUAUUCACUAUAUAAUCUACAUAUCUCCACAUUUGGCCUUUGGCCAAAAAAGUAGAGGCCCCUGCCAUUGCCUGCCAGCUGAAUAACUCCUCCAAGCUCCAUUGUUAAAGUCUGUGGAGGACAGAACAUAAAGUCUGCAAGCUAGUUCUUCUACUUAGAUCACAGGCUCUGCAAAGUCAUUGAAAAGGGAAGUUGCUAAAAGUGACCAGUUGCCCCCAAUUUUUAUAUCACAUAAGGGUGACCAGCAGAGACUCUAUAUCACUUAAACCUAGCCUGCCUAAGCUUCUCUGUCCUACCAAAAACAAGCAGCUGCUAAGAAGUCACUCUCGGCAAGUGGUUUGAUGUACUACUAGCCCAAUAAGCACCUUGCUUCAGGAAGAACAACUUUCAUCAGGAAAUGCAAGUGUGGGAGCUUGUCUUUAAAUGUUGGUACCCAAGAGAAUCAGAUGAUCAGAACUACAGGGUACAAGCAGUCCAUGCCCUUGUCCAUAAGUUGCCUGAAAAGAACCGUGAGAUGCUGGACAUCUUAAUCAAGCACCUUGUCAAGGUAUCCAUGCACAGCCAACAAAACCUAAUGACCAUCUCUAAUCUUGGCGUCAUCUUUGGGCCAACUUUAAUGAGAGCGCAGGAAGAAACCGGAGCCGCAAUGAUGAACAUCACGUUCCAGAAUAUAGUGGUGGAAAUUCUAAUUGAGCACUAUGAAAAGGGACCUGUUCUAUAACCACAGGAACAUUAGGCGAUUCCUACAGCAGCAGCCCAUCCAGCACCCCCAUAGGAAGCAUCGAAUCCCUGUCUUCCCAUUCGUCAGAGCAAAACAGCACAACAAAAUCAGUGUCAUUGCCUCAAAGGGAUAAGAAAGGAGUUGGGAUCCCAUGGGUGACCUCUGCACCUUCAUCUAAUGGCCAAAAAGGUUCUAGCUUUUGGACUACAAGUCCCGAGUCAAGCUCCAAAGAUGAUACAACAAAAACAGAUGUGGAGUCAGAUUGUCAGAGUGUUUCCUCCAUCACCAGUCCUGGAAAUGCCUCCCCUCCCAUUGACCUGACCAAGAAGAGCCUUUAUGGCUUGUCGGGGCUUAAACGUUCCCAAGCCCCCUCCCUUCGAUCCUUAUCUUCUACCGAAGCUAUUGGCAUAAAAAGUCGAAGCCCGUCUACACAGAGUCUGACCUCUCUGGACCUGCAGGAUGUUCCGAAGGUUCAUCCAGAACUGUCUCCAAAAAUCAUGAGAAGAUGACUGGACACGGGUUCAAGCAACGGCUACCAAAGGCCAGGUUCAGUGUAAGACUGACAGUUGUUCCUUAUAACCACAUGAUCAGCUAUAAAAGACAGACCCCUCCGACCUGGCUGAUGCGUUGAUGCAGCUCAUCAGUGGACUAUGGGGAUAUAAAGAGUAACUUUUGCUAUGCAGGGGCUGGGGAAGGGUAUCAUUUGUAGCACUGACAAUCCCUACAGGACGUACACCCUAUCGUCACUGGGGAUGGGUUUCUAAAUGAUUCGAUCAGUAGAUAAAGGGAACUCUGGCUUCUGAACAAAAAUUUCUUAAAGAGCCAACACAACACAGAAACACCUAAUACACCUGUAACUGUAAUCUGUCCCUUCAAAACUUAUGAAUAAAUGCUGAAAUCCAACUGCAAAAAA